rnacentral:hammerhead_ribozyme from 13 species
CACCUGUCUAGGCUUGGNGGGGACUGCGCCUACCUGAUGAGCCCCAAGAAGGGCGAAACCGGUC